ACGCUCGACACCUACGGGGCAGCAGUGGGGAAUAUUGCACAAUGGGGGAAACCCUGAUGCAGCAACGCCGCGUGAAGGAAGACGGUUUUCGGAUUGUAAACUUCUGUUCUUAGUGAAGAUAGUGACGGUAGCUAAGGAGCAAGCCACGGCUAACUACGUGCCGGCAGCCGCGGUAAUCUGAGCGGGCUGGCAAGGC
rnacentral:rRNA from 1 species